AAUUCAUUUUUAUGACCAUCAAAGCAACAGAUUGACACAAUUGGACUUUUAUCAUUAAUCGUCUUGAAUUCUGAAAUGAUUGACUUGUUGAUAGAGAUGGAAUAGAGAAUGGUAAUUCAUUCGAUAUAAUACAUUUUGGCAUGUCAAAUACACCAACAAUUAAUGAUCUCAAAUCAGGCAAGGCUACCCGCUGAACUUAA
rnacentral:misc_RNA from 1 species